AGAAAAAUAAAUCAAUAUUUAGAAAGUCUACAUUGGGUAAUGGUCACGUGAACGCAUGUGACUGCCGACAUAUGAAGUGGGGCCUACCACGUAAUCAACAAUUUCGCCACCUUCGUGCGUGAGAGCCCAACCGCUGUUUCUAAGAUGCGGCCCAUUUUCUACGUCAUCACGAUGCUCAAGUGAUAUGCUCAGAACAUUCAUUUCUGUUUUUUUUAUACACAUUUACCGAACU
rnacentral:lncRNA from 1 species